UAUUGAAAAUGGGUAGCUGAGGCAUCCAUAGUUGCUCCUUUGCAAGAAUACUAUGCCUUUUCUUCCCCUCUUCUGAGCUUAGAGAGAAAGAGAGAUGCCUCUUCUCUUCUUCUUCUUCAGCUUUUAUAUAUAUAUAGAGAGAGAGAGAGAAAGAGAGAUGCCUCUUCUCUUCUUAUUCUUCUUCAGCUUUUAUAGAGAGAGAGAGAUGGGACUCCAAAAUGAAAAGAAAAUGAAAAAAUACAGUGACUUCCUGGAUCUAGAAGUGGAAGUUCUCUGAAGAAGCAAAUUAGUAAACGGGAUCCUUCUAUUUUUCCAUCAAUUUGACUUGAACAGAGUUGUGCAUUGUUCUCCAUCGCACAGAUAUUAUCAACCUAGCCAUGGAAGUUCUGGGUUCCAUCUUUGGAGAAAUUGGAGGGUACCUUGUUAAGGCAAUUAAGCGUCGAUUUGGCUAUUGUAUUCACUACCACAGGAACGUUGAGACUCUCAAAAAGCAAGUUCAAAUACUAGAGGCAACGCGAAAAGAUGUAGAAGCAUCCACUAAUACAACAAAAAGAAAUGGGGAGGUUAUUAGAAAUGAGGUUCAGAACUGGACAUCAACAGCUGAUGGGGCCUUGUCGGAGGCUACAAAAUUUCUACAAGCUGUAGAGGAAGUGAGGUUUCUUGAUUUCAUUUCUCGUUAUCGGCUGGGAAGGAAAGCUGCAAAGAAAGCAAUGGCAAUUGAGAAGCUUAAAAAAGAUGGUGAGUUUGAUCGAGUUGCCAACCAUGCUUCUCCUCCAGGGGUUCUUUCUAUGCCAUCUCAAGAUUUUGUGAUUUUUGAAAGCACAAGAAAUGCUAUGGAGAAGAUCAUGGAGGCAUUGAAGGAUGAAGGAACCAAUUUUAUUGGUAUACAUGGAAUGGGAGGGAUUGGCAAAACAACUAUUGUGAAAGAUAUUGCCAAAAAGGUUGAACAAGAAAAGCUUUUCGAUGCUGUUGUGAUGGCUGUAGUGUCACAGACUAUUUCAGUGAAAAGAAUUCAGGAGCAGAUAGCAGAAAUGUUGGGUUUGGAUUUCAAGCAAACAAUUAGCGAAGAAGGAAGAGCAAGUUUGUUGCAUACUAGACUGAAGAACGAGAAUAAAACCCUCGUUAUCUUGGAUGAUAUUUGGGUCAGACUUGAUCUUGCAAUCAUAGGCAUUCCAUUUGGCAAUGGUCAUAUAGGCUGUAAAAUUAUGAUCACGACACGGCGUAGACAAGUGUGCAAUGUCAUGGCCUCAAGAAUUGAAUCUACAAAGAUCAUCCAGCUUGAUGUUCUAGCAGAACAAGAAUCCUGGUUCUUGCUUAAGAGGAAUGCCGGUGAUGUGAUUGAGUCGUCUCCCACAAUGAAUUCAGUGGCAAAGGAUAUUUGCAAAGAAUGUGGAGGCUUGCCCUUAGCAAUUGUAACGGUUGGGAGGGCAAUGAGAGGCAGAGACUUGGAAGAAUGGAAAGAGGCAGCUCUAGAACUUAAGAAAGCUCAGCCUGUGAAUAUUGAAGGCAUGGAUGAUGAUGUGUAUAAGUGCCUUAAAUUAAGCUAUGAUUACCUGAAGAAUAAGGAAACCAAGUUUAUUUUCCUGUUUUGUUGUUUAUUUCCUGAGGAUUAUGACAUUCCUAUGGAGGAUUUGGUAAGAUAUGGGAUUGGUCUGGGAAUAUUUGAAGAUGUGAGAAUACAGGAAGCAAGAAAUAGAGCUCGUUUUAUUGUCAACAAUCUCAAAGAAUCAUGUUUAUUUUUAACAAGCAACGAGGAAGACUGCGUCAAGAUGCAUGAUGUUGUUCGUGAUGUGGCCAAAUCAAUAACAUCUGAUAUGUAUUUUGUGAAAGUUGGCGGUGAAAAGUUCGAGGAGUGGCCAAAUAUUGAAAAUUUAAAACGUUACACUGCCUUAUCAAUUAUGCAAAAUCAAAUUCCAGAAUAUCCUGCUUCCUGGGAUUUCCCAAACCUACAAACAUUGUUGUUAAGAGAAAACCGCAAUUCGCAAUUGGCUAUGCCAGAAGGAGUCCUCAAAGGGAUGAAAACCCUUGAACUUUUUGAUCAUAGUGGCAGCUAUAGUCAUUAUCCAUUUUUCGUCUAUCCUUUUUAUGGGAACUUGGAACCAACACUCAGUCAUCUCACAAAUCUUCGGACACUGAUUCUCCAAAAUUAUAGAGUGGGUGAUACCACUGCACUUGGAGGACUAAAGUCGCUAGAAAUUCUUAGCUUCAAAGGAAGUAUAUUUACAGAGCCUGCAAAUGCAAUAAGUAAGUUGACUAGCCUAAAGUUGCUGGAUUUGGAAGAGUGUUCCCAUCAUUCUCACAUGGAUUCUAUAUUACCUUCCAAUGUCAUAUCCAGAUUAUCCCGAGUGCAAGAGUUGUACAUGUGGAUGAUGUCUCCUAGAAGAUUAUUUUCUGUAAAGCCCUUUAUGAGUUUUAAUAUAACUGAGUUGAAACCCCUCGCUCGCUUGACUGCCUUUACAAUGAUGAUAGUGAAUUUUGAAAACAUACCUGAAGGCUUCUGUUUUCCUGAUUUGGAGGUUUUCAAAAUAUCCAUAGGAGACGGUGGAGAUUUUAUAGCUAAACAAAAUUACUUGAAUCUUUGUGGUCUAGUCGAAGAUCAAAAAAUGUUGGCAAUUACUAGGUUAGGUUGCAUCAAGCCAUUACUACCGAGAACAAAUUACCUCUCUCUAUCUUCAAUGGAAGGGUUAAGGAAUAUCUUUCCCCAACUAAUCUCAGAUAGAGAUAGUUUAGCUGUCUUGAGAUCUCUGAAUAUCAGCUCUUGCUCCGAGCUCGAGUACUUAAUCGAUGCUGAAGAAUGGGAGAUUCCACCCACAACACAGCAGCAGCAGGGAACUUGUUUGGUGUGCCUGGAAACAUUGUCGGUUUCAAAUUUGAAAGCCCUAGAAGCAUUAUGCAAAGGUGAGCUACCUUAUGAAAUUUCCCUGUCCAUGACGAAGCUCAAACUGUUGAGGUUUUAUCAGUGCUCAAAAUUGUCGAAUGUUUUUGCUUCGCUUAAUCCGCAACUACAAUUGAAGGAACUUGAAGUGCUCCAUGUGGGUUACUGCAAUGCUCUAGAGUAUAUAUUUGGGAAGAAAGAAGAUGCACCUCCAUGUUUAAGAGAACUUAAGUUGGAUUGUUUGAUGAGAUUAAAGCGCAUAUAUAAGUGCUCUACUGACCUACUUGACCUGUGCAAUCUAGAGGUUCUACAGAUUAAUCGAUGCAACGAACUAAAAGUCAUCCUUCCUGCUUCUGCUGCUCAAAGACUUGGGAAACUGAAAGAACUGCAUCUGGAUAAUUGUUAUCAAUUGGAAGCUUUUCUUGCAAAACAGCAAGAAGGAGAAGAAACCAUUGAGAAUUUGGUGUUUUCUCAACUAAGAAUGCUUUCACUAGUCGACCUUCCCAACCUUACAGGCUUUUGCACGGAUUAUACCUUGACUUUCAAAUGGCCAUCCUUGGAAAAAGUGGAGGUGGUUCGCUGUCCCAAAAUGCAGAUGUUUGUUGCUGUUGUGGCUUCUGAUGAAGACUCGAGCAUGCCAAAGUUGAAGAUGAUCAAAGUUGAUGGUGUUGAUAUAAUGCUUGAGGGAACAGACAUAAACAGAGUCAUGCAAGGUCGCUACAAAGACAAGGUCCUAGUAACUGACCAUUAAAGCUGUGUGCAGGGUGUAGACACUACUGCGACACAGAGAAUAGCAAAUAAAAGUACUAGGCUGUUUCUAUUUUGAAGGCCAGGCUCUUGCCUUAUGAAACCAGUGCUACAAGAGAGGCUAUUGGCAGUGUCUCUAAUUUAAGGAGCAUGAUAUCCGAUAAGCUUUAAUUUUAUGAUAUUUGACUCAUUUCCACAACUAUGAGGUCUGAGUUGGAGUCCCAAUCAUAGCCAAACAAAUAUUAAAAGAAUUAAGGAGCAUAAUAUGCAGCAUUAAAUAAAGGUCAUAUGUCUAUCAAAGACAAUGAUUGGAUCUGUGCAGUUUGCUUUGUAAUCGAUUGUGCGCAGUGACUUGUAAUUUCUUAUUCUUCAAAGCCUUCUAUUCUUAUUGUUAGUA